rnacentral:rRNA from 1 species
UACGGAGGGGGCGAGCGUUGUUCGGAAUUACUGGGCGUAAAGGGCGCGUAGGCGGUCGGCGGCGUCGGGUGUGAAAGGCCUGGGCUCAACCUGGGACGGUCAUCCGAUACGGGUCGGCUUGAGACCGGGAGAGGAGUGUGGAAUUCCCAGUGUAGAGGUGAAAUUAGUAGAUAUUGGGAAGAACACCGGUGGCGAAGGCGGCACUCUGGCCCGGUUCUGACGCUGAGGCGCGAAAGCGUGGGGAGCAAACAGG